rnacentral:lncRNA from 1 species
UGGGUGGUCCUUUGAGCACUGUCCUUGUCACCUGCGCUGGUGGUAGAAUAUGUAACUAUGCGCUUCUCCGACGACUACUUUCAAUUUGAGUAGAAUGUCACCAAGGCAUCAGAACUUGUUCUUGUCUUUUCUAAUAAAAAUUUUGAAAUUUCUUCUUGGCCAAGGUUGCUUUUUAUUGAGUUUUGUGAUGAAUUAUUAGCCUCUUAUUGGUUCGUA